CCCCUUUUCAUCGGGGCGCGGGGUCCCUAUAUUGGGCGUGCCGGCAACGGCUAUGGCGAUAAACUGUCAUCGUAAUAAACCCAUCGGACCCGGGGGCAGUACCCGGCGCCUCCACCAAAUUCCUCCCUGAUUUCAGGGGCUUGCGGGGGCGAAACAGGAUCGACGAGGGCGUAAAAGGUGUGCUUUCGCUCGGCAUUGUACCACCGUUAUCGGGCUACAAUUAUAGUUGCCAACGACAACUAUGCUGAGGCACGUCUCGCUGCGUAAUGCAGCGCGAUACCUCGAAUUAAAGCCCUGAUUCUGUAGCAGGAAUCAGGCGGGGUCCGCAGGCACCUGGCAACAGAAGCCUGCAUU
rnacentral:tmRNA from 1 species